rnacentral:lncRNA from 1 species
AAUUAUUAAGGGAGCAAGAAAUCCUUCUGCGUAUCAAACACUACGAAGUCUAUCAAGCCAUCAUAAGAGUAGACGGAUAGCAAAAUUAUAAGCUAUAUAUUAUAUCGGUGAAACCUACCAUGAUUAAUUGUAUGUUCCGAUAUUUUUUUUCCCGUAGUUGUUAUAGUUGCUAUAAAAUUGCUUUCAAAAUUUUAUUAAAAAAAUGAUCUCAAAAUUUUAAUUUCAAAUCGUAAUCUUUAGCAAGUUAGGGAGGAAAAAGUCACAUCAUAUAUGUUAUAUUUAUUAGGUUUAAUAUUUUGUUCCUGCUUUGUGUUGAUGAUCUAAAAAUUCCAAUCCACUAGUCAAAUAGGCAUAAUUCGCUAUUACAUCCACUCAUGAAAUCAUCCAACAAUCAUCUAGGUAUAUGCUGUCUAAUUUAUUAUGCAAAUUGGCAGGUGUCACGGCUCAAGUGUGGUGGUUUUGUCUUUGCCCUCCGCGUCAACCAUACCAUGUGUGAUGGCCAAGUAUUAGUGCAAUUCAUGGCAGCGGUGGCUGAGAUGGCCCGCGGAGCCAACGCCCCAUCUGUCCCUCCAGUGUGGGAAAGACAUGUCCUUAAUGCAACUGAACCACCUCGAGUUACAUGCAGACACCGAGCGUACGAGGAGGUAGCUGGCUCCACGAGCUCAAUUCUUACCCAUGAUCAUCUGGUUCAUCGUUCAUUUUUCUUUAGCCCUUCAUAUAACUGCUCUUCGAAGAUUGGUCCCACCUCACCUCAGCCAUUGUUCUAGUUUCGAAAUAUUAACGGCAUGUCUUUGGAUAUGUCGGACCAUUGCCCUCCAACCAGAUCCUAAUGAAGAAAUGCGCAUAAUUUGCCUCGUCAAUGCUCGUGAAAAAUUCAACCCUCCGUUAUUACCAAGAGGUUACUAUGGCAAUGGUUUUGGUCUUCUAGCAGCAGUGGCCACUGCGGGGGAACUUUCGAGAAAGCCAAUUGGAUAUGCUUUGGAGAUGGUAAGGAAGGUCUCUUUUUACUGUGCCAGGGACCUACAUAGUGUCGGACUUGAGACGUGCCGGACUUGAAAAGGUAGAUUUCGGAUGGGGAAAUGCUAUCUAUGGUGGGACUGCAAAAGCCAUCUCUGAACUUGCAAGCUUUUAUAUUCCGUUUACAAAUAAGAAAGGAGAAGAUGGGAUCGUUGUACCAUUUUGCUUGCCAUCUCCUGCUGUGGAAAGAUUUUACAAGGAGCUAAAGGGACAGCUAGUUAGCGGAGGAGCAAAUUCCAAGUUAAUCGUAUCUUCUUUGUAAGUUAAAUUGUUUACUCUUAUUUUCUAUGUACCACGUAUCAUUUAUUUAUGUUUCGUUCGAAUUUCAUUUUUUAAUAUUAGUACCUUUUAUGUCCAUUCAGCAUGUGCUAUGACUAUUAAUAAUAUGAGUGUUUAUUUUUGUAUUUCUUGUUAGGGCUGUUAUUUUUUAAAAAAAAUUAAAUUGUAGUUGGAUAUAAAAUAAUCAAAGAGGAUAUUAAUUUUUUUUCAUACAUGACAUUGAACAUUUAAUAUAUAUGUAAGAUCAACAACUUGUAACAGAAAACUUUUAUAAUUCUCUCAUCAAAUUUAAAGUAGUUUGACAAGGAUAAUGAUUGUUGUUGAAACAUUAUUUUAUAGGUUUUACAAUCGUUUAUGGUAAAAAAAAAAAAAAAAAAAAAAAAAAAAAAAAACACAAUAUCUUUAACAGAGGUUUUAAGAAGGGAAGAGGUCAAUGAAAGAAAGUGUGAAAUAUUGAUGGAAACAAGAAGACGAUGAGAAACAGUCAGGGAGGAGAGGAGGGAUAUUUUGGUCAAGAGAUAAUUGAACGGUUUUCAAUAUUCAAUAAGUAGGUAUGUAUGGCAUGCUUUUGAUGAAUCUCUAUGGUGGGACCACAAUUAAUAUAUGGGUAUCACAUUCUUCCACCAACAUUUUAUUGUUUUUCAAACAAUUAUUAAUUGUGGAUACACCACACCACAAUUUCUACCACAAAAAUAAAUGCCCUCUAACAAAUCUAUGCUUGCCAGCUCCUACCAUGGAAAGACUUUUCAAGGAGCUUGAAGACAUGCUUAAGGUCUGAUACAAAAAAAAACAAAAAAAGAAUGAGAGGAUGAAUAAUACUUAACACGUAUCCUUCAUGCAUGUUUCGUUUGAAUUUUAUUUUUAAUAUUAGGACGACAUUUACCUUUUAUGAAUAUUAAUAAAUAAUUUGUCUUGGUUAUGAUUAAGUAAAACUAUAAAUGAGUGUGUUGUAAACACAAGGUUGAUGAGUCUGUCCUUGAAGAAAAGGACUCUUUUGUAUAUUUGUAACUAUUGGAUUGUACCGUAACUUACAACCUCCCUCCCUAAAUUAAUGUUUGAAUUGAUAGAUGGAUAGAUAACAUUAAAAACCUAUAAUUAAUUAACCCUGACGAGUUAUAGGGAAAAAGAAAAGUCGAACACAAACUUAAAUAGAAAAUGAGAAAUGAAUGAAUCAUACAAUAAUGUGUUUACAUCAAAAUUAGAUAUUUUUUUAGAUUAACAUUAGUGUUUAGUCUAGUUUCCAUAUACCAUAACUAAUUCUAUAGAUCCUGAAGUUAACGAUCAUGUAAAUUUUUAGUGUCCUUGAGAUUUAUGGGAUUCAAACUAGUAACCUUCAAUGAACAAAUUCGGGACUUGACUAGUUAAACUACAUCUUUCAUGGUUAAAAAAUAGAUAUUUAGUACUUAAAGUGGCACACACUAUGCCACGGGCUCACCUUUUAUACUUAUAAAAAAUUUAGGUCCUAAUUCUAGAAGGACCUAAGACUAUUUUGGUCUUGUUUGGCCAUGACUCAAGGUUAUUUGGAUCCAGAACCCGGUUAGACCCAAGAUUAUUUUGGAUCCUGCAGCCUACAGGACUUAAGGUUAUUUUAGAUCCUGCACCAGGCAGGACCAAGGCUAUUUUAUAUCCUGCACAGGGCAGGACCCAAGGCUACUUCGAUUCUGAACAUGGUCGAACCCAAGGCUAUAUUUGAGUCCUAUAGGCUUUAGGACCAAGGCUAUGUUGGGUCUUGCAGCCUCUAGUACCCGAGGAUACUUUGGGUCUUGCACUGGACCCGAAGCUAUUUUGAGUCCUGCACGACUCGGACACAAUGCUAUUUAUGUCUUGAAUAGGCCCGACCCAAAGCUAUUUUGGGUCAUGCACCUGGCCGAACCAAAUGCUAUUUUGGGUCCUGCCCCGACCCGACCCAAGGCUAAUCUGAGUCCAGUAGAGGCCAAGAUCCAAGGCUAUUUGGGGUCUUGCACUCGGCCAAACCCAAUGCUAUUCUGGGUUCUGCCUAGCCGGAACGAAGGUUAUUUUGGGUCUUGACCGGCUCGGAUCCAAGGCUAUUAAGGUCCUAACCCAGCCAAGUGACACGACCAAAAGAUUGAUGUCUUCUCCCAAGUGCAGGAAUGUCGAAGUAAUAAAUAACCCGGCAAGACUGGGGUCGAACCACAGAGAGGUUAAUUGUAUAAAUUAUAAAUAACAAGACAACAACAACAACAACAACAACAACAACAAUAAUAACAAUAAUAGUAAUAAUAAUAAUAAUAAUAAUACUCAAUACGUGGCGUUGUUAUAUCUGAGAAUGAUCUAAAAGAUCGAAUCACAGGUUUCCAGCCUAUAUACUGAGUUUAUGAAAAGAUCAAAAAGAUAUAUUAUAUAAUAUAAAUAGAAUGUAAAUAAUAAUAAUAUUAAUAAUAAUAAUAGUAAUAAUAAUAAUAGUAAUGUAGUAGUAGUAGUAGUAGUAUAUAAUAAUAAUAAAGAAGAAGAGAAGAAAUUAAUGAGAACUUUGAGAUGGAAGAUUAAUGUAAGGAUUAAACAAUGAUAAAAACAAAUGUCAAGGUUAGAGGAUCCACCAAUGGUAUUUCAAACAAGUAUAGUAUAAACUCUUAUUACUCAAUUUGGAAACCACACACGAAGGAGGUUCCAAUCGGAUGAUUUGUCAUUAAUAGCUCAUUAUAAAUUAUUAACAUGAUCAUAUUAAUUAUCUUAUUUACAUAACACCAAACUUUUAAAUAUUGUCAGGAAUUCAUGAUGUUAACAACAAAUCAAGUUCCUUUCAUAGCCCAGGUGUAGGUAAUACCAUACGGUUGGGCUAUGAGAGUGCCAAGCAUUUGUUGUACCAAGUGUUAUACAACACAAAUCUAGAUUAACCAUUUAACAAGCAAGGUAUUAAGAAUUAGUAAGAUAAAAAGAUAAGACAUGUUAAUAUUAAACAUUAAGGUCCAUGUUGAGUUUACACUAUACUUAUUCUUACACCAUUAGUGUAACCUUUUCACCUUGACAUAAUAAACUUAGCUAAACAUAAUGAAGAAGAGAAACAUAAAUAAACAAAACAAGAACAUAAAGAAAAUACAAGUUAACUAAGUAAAGGAAAGGAAAUGAAAAGCAUAAACAAGAUAUUAAUGAAAGCAAAACUUAAAAUUACAAAAAAUAUAAAGAGAGAAAUAAAGAGCAUGAACUUGAUCUGAACAACCAAGCCCUAAAUACAUGGCAAAUGCCUCCUUUUAUAGGCCAAAAUUGGAAUUAUUGAUUUGAUGACUAAUUGUUGAGUGGGUGGCCAACUUUUGACUUGUGAAAAUCCUUAUCUUCUUGUCUGAAUAAAACAAAAAUGCUAGCAUCAGAACUGGGUCCACUUGAAAACAUGAAAGUUGUAGGAAAUUGUCUUAAAAAAAAUGAGGUCAUUUGGACUUCUAGAACUAGAUAUGGGCCAAACACUGAACAGUGUUCGGGCUGCAGGACAAAUUCAGACUUCUCCGUUGUUGCUAUAAUUAGGACUUGAAAACGGCCUUUUUAGAUCUUGAUGAAAACAUGAAAGUUGUAGGCCUAUAUCUUACUGAAUCUGUGUAAAAAUUUGAGAUCAUUUGGACAUCUAGAACUUGAGAUAUGACCCAAUUACCGAACAGUGUUUCAGUUUGGACUGCACCAACAUCUCUUUUCUAAGUUUCACCCUCUCUUUAUCUUCACACAAAUUUCAGUAGUUGAAUUUAUCAAUCAAUGCUUUGAUUUAUAGGGCUGCAUUUAAGAUGAAAAUUUACCAUAUAUUAGGGCAUUUUAUAGUAUUAGACUUGUUAUUAUAAAACAUGCUUUAGUUAAGGAGUUAUUGAUACUUUAAGUGCAAAAUGAUGAUAUAAAACAUUGAUAAAUAUGCAAUUUUAAGUACUAAUCACCCCCCCCAACCAACUUAUUACUAGUCCCUAGUAAUCAAAGCGUUAAAAUAGAAAAAUAAUUUGCAAAUUCUAUAAAGCAAGGCAUUCAUCAUUCAACUUACUUUAAUUUAUCUAGAUAAACAAACUCUCAUUAAAUUCAUAUAUCUGCUCAAUACCUCUUAAACAAGAUAUCACUAAACCUUUCUUUUGUGCUCAAAAUAUCAACAUAUAGUUAUGGGGCUUUACUUGGAAGAAAAGCAAAUUUGUGUUCUAAUGUUUAAGGUUAACUUCCUUAGGUUGAGAUUUUUUUUUUCUUUUUCUUUAUUUAGUUAUUUAUUUAUAUACACAUACAACUUGAAACACAAUGUAUCUUUAACUCAUGUAACGAGUUUUAGGCUAAUGACUCCCAGACCAGCUGGUCUUAGGGCAUUAGGUGUUGAGACACCCCUACGAGCUUAGCAACUCGGGUUGCAGAUACUUAUACGUAGAUAGUGCAAUGUUUGAUUCCCUUAAGCUUUUCUCCUCAACCCAUGUAACAAGCGUUGGGCCAAUAGCUCCCAAGUUAGUUGACUUUAUGGUAUUAAGUGUUAAAACACCCUUUCGAGCUUAAUUGCUUAGGUUAGGGAGGCUACGAAACCAAACUUAUCUACCUUUUUAUUAUCAUUAUUUUUUUUGUUUUUUUUUUUUUUGCAAAUUAUGUACUAUCCCUUUCCCUUAGUUGUUACCUUUAACAAAAGAACAUAAAUAAUGUAAUAAUCCAAUGUGCAACCCACAAUCAUAUGUUAAAGUGUGUGUGUGAAAAUGAAGAUUUAAAAAUACUUGUUAAAUGAGCAUAUGAGCAGAAUCAAGUGCUACCAAUACGAGAGUUUGUAAACCUGAAUAUUUCAAGAAGUAUUCUGAUAGACCUUGUUAAGAAUGUUUACUAAGAUGCGUCUCAAGAGUCACUUUAACAAAAGAACUCCUUUUACUCUGCCAUCCUAGUAACAACAGUUUUGCAAAUAGUUUAUGAAAUAGAAAACACAGUUUUUUUUUUUUAAAUAUCAACUACUACCCUUUCCCCCCAACCAAAAUGAGACAUUGUCCUCAAUGUCUUAAGGUAGAAAGAUAGAGUAUAGAAGACAUCACCUGAAAUAACGAACACUGACAAACCUGAAACACACUUAAACAAAUAUAAGAAACAACAAAACACAAUAAUAAAACCAAAAGACGCAAAUAUUUAUAGAUGAGAAAUUGAAAAUGCAAUCACACCACCUAUAUGUAGGCCAGUCAUAGUCUCACACUCUCUCUCUCUCUUUAUUUAUUUAUUUUGAAAAAGCAUGUGUAUGUACAGGUAUUUGUGAUUGUGGCUCACAUCUUUCCUUGGUUUUACGUCCAAGAACGACUUAAACGCCCUCUAUGGGUCGGGGAUAGGCGUCCCAUCCAGUUUUCUUAAAAACUGGCAAACAAGGUCUUUUUUAGUCAGAUUCCCAAGACUAAGUCGAGCAUGUUUUUUAUGGAAUUGGGGCCAUAAAUCAUAAAUUACACGAUGCACAUCUCCACUAGGGUGCGUCUCAAGAGUCAAUAGAAGAUUAUCUAAAGACCCCUUACUCAGGCCAUCCUUAAUGAAUUGUAUUUUAUCUUCACGGUUUACAGAUACCAUUCCUAAAGAACGACAUGUCGCAUUACAAGUCCAUCUAGCACAUCGGUGACAGACUUUCAGUCGUUUUGCACGACGUUUCUUUGCAAAAGUGCUCUUACAUGUUCCAGGCAUGUAUGAAAUGAAAGAAUUGGAGGACUCACCUGAUAAUCGGACCUUUGCUUCAAUUAGCCAACGAAUAUCUUCAGGAAUUCCAUGGUUCAUUAAUAGCCUCAAUCUUUCACACCUAGCACGGUAAAUUUUUAUAAUCGGAUUCUGAGGCAGAGCGGGAAAAUAUUUUUUCAAUUUUUCAAGAGUGGUGUCCAUUUUCAAAUGAGAAUUGGAUUAGAGAUUCAAAGAAAGAAGAAAGAGCAGAGAAUUGCACAAUUAUAUACACAAAUAUCAGUUAUCAUGGGAAACUGAAAGCACCGACUUAAGAGUCACGGAGUACCGUUAUCCGCCAUUUGACCGGGGUGAGAGAAACUAGCAAAACAAAAAUCAAACCAAAAAGGAACACAAAACAAAUUGUGAGAAAAAUAAAAUAAUCAACCUUUAUCUAAAAGAUCAUUGAUAAAUAUGCAUAUAAAACCUUGAUAAAUAUGCACUUUUAAGUACUAAUCACCAGGACCCAAGGCUAUUUUGGGUUCUGCAUAAUGUUGGACCCAACAUAGAUUUUAUAAUAAUAAUAAUAAUAUUUAACUUGUCUAUCCAAGUUCUUAUAUUUUUUAUUAAUUUUUUUAAAAAAUGUAUGGUUUUUCUUCGAUGGUAAUAAUAAUUUUUUUUUUAAUUUACUAAUGAUAAUAAUAAUAAUUCAAAUAAUAAUAUUUGUUUAGUAAUACUUUGAAUUAUAAUAAAAAUAAUAAUACUAUAACUUCGGGAAAAAAAAUGAUUUUUUACACGUUAUCCGUUUGUUAUUUUUGUUUUGAUUAGGGGUACAAUGAUAUUUUACUUUUCUUUUUCAAAUAGUAAAAUACUUUUACUACCCUUAAAAGUAAACAAAUCAGAUAAUUAGUCUCCAGGUUUUUUUUCUUUUAAGAUUUUACAUUUUCUAGCACAAUGAAUUUUUUAAGAUAACCUUAGUUUCAAAUUUUAAUUAAUCUUUCUUUGGGGGAAUUUUCAUAUUUUAAAUAUAUAUAGUCUCUCAUAAUAAUUAAAAAAUAUUAUAAAAAAAGUCAGACAUGUGAGAGAAGCCACAUCAUUCCAGUGGAGUAAGCUCACUCCAAUGAGGUUAAAAGUCUGCUUCUGUAAUGUCAUUCAAUUAUUUAUCCUCUAAUUUAGUCCUCAGGUUUAUCUUUUAAUUUUUAUGAAAUUUAUUUCUCUUUUCAAUUUAGCCCUUCAAUCCAAAAUUAUCCAUUCUUUAUUUUUUUAAAAAAAGUUUGGUCCUCAAUUUUUUAAUUGAUAUUUUUUUUUUGAAUCAUUUUUUUAUAAUUGAUUUUUUUUUAAUUUUAUCAUUUGACAAUUGAUUUAUUAACAUUUGGGUUUCAUAGUUUUUCUAUGUUUGGUGUUUCUAGUCAAAUGGUUGGGUCACAAGUCCAAAUCGUUUUUUUUUUGACAUAUUUUCUUUUUCGAUCUCAUUACUUGAUGUUUAUUUUGAUUUUUAUUAGAGUAGGCUUUAUGGUUUUAUUUGUCUUUUUAUAAGAUUAUCUCGAUCUCAUGACGUAACUUAUGAGUUUGACAGGUUAACCUAAGUGAGCUCGCAUAUUUUUUUUUCUUUUAAUUAUUGUUUUUUCUUUUGGAUUCUUUUGUAUGAUUGCUUCUUUUUUUUUAUCCUUCAAUAUUUGAUCUGUUAGGAAUUAGUCUUCAUUGUUUUUCCAUGUUUAGUGUUUCCAGUCAAAUUGUCUGAGACAUAGGUUUUAUAGGUCAAUACGAGUCAACAUUGUUUUUUUUUUUCAUGAUUCAACAUUUAUUUUUAUUAUUUGAUAUUAUUUUUUCUCUUUCUUUAAAACACAUUUGUGUUGACUGAACCUUAAAUGUUUUCUUAGUUUUUUUUAUUCAACUUGCAGCAGAAUGUGGGUCGCGUGUAGAGAAUGAGACUGUGCUUAAAGAAAAGUACUCAAUUCCAAAUUUAUAAUUGUUGGAUAUUUUUUUUUAAUUCUACCAUAACCAACAACUAUGUGAUGCAACCUGCGUACCUACCAAUUCAAAUUAACCAAGCUUCAUAUUUAUGUUUGAAUUGAUGGAUUAAUUAACCUGCGAUUGAUGAGGGAUAGGGAAAAAGAAAAUCCAAACACCUACUUAGUAGAAAAUGAGAAAUGAUUGAAUGACACAAUUUCAAUUUGUGUGUUAACAUCAAUAUUCACAUGUGAAUUCGAUAAUAAUAUACUUAAAUAAGAAAAAAAAAUCAAUCAUGAAUAGUAUACCAACAAAAUUUGAACAGCUCUAAUCAAUCAAGAAAAUCCAAAAGAAAUUGAUCAUAAGACCAAGUGUCACGACAUACAAAACAAUAUGAUCGAUUGUAAGUAUUAAAAUUUUUAUGAAUGACUAGGAUGUUAAAUCCUACUCAAAGUUGGAAUCUCUUAUAAUUUAAAUUGACAAAGUUGUUUAGCUUAGUUAGGAAUUCAUAUGAUUAUCAACAAAUGAAAGUUUAGUUUGUAUUAAAAAUUCAAUAUACCUCCUUAUCUGAUAUAUGUUACCUAUAAAAUAUUAGAAUUAUAUACUUAGAUUAAAAUUCUAACACUAUAUGGAUUAAAAUAGGGUCAUCCAACUACUUUAAAAAAUGGCUAGCCCAUACAUGUCAUUGCUUUUAUUUACAACUUUAUAUAUCUUUUUUUUUCUUUCAAAUCAUUUUCAUGUUUACCUAUUGUUCUUCUCAUGUGAUGUUGCUUGGGAUAGAUAUGUAUUUCUUAAGAUUUAAAAUCUUGAAAUACCCACAAUUUAUUUAAUUUUAUGAGACUAUUACUUGUCUUUGCUUAUGUUCCUAGUUGUAGUUUCUUCUUAUUAGAAGGAAGAAAUUGAUAAUAGGUUACAUAAUUGAUCAGAAUAUUAAUGAUUAGUUAAUUAGUUGAUUAUGUUAGUUUUAAUAUGCCAUAUAACCAGGUGGUUGGUUACAUGUGAUAUUAUUAUAUUCAUGUAAAUAUAUAAUUAUUAUUAGUAAAGACUUAAUGUAUUUUUAAUAUUCAUAUAAUAUAAGAUUAAUGAAUCUAGAGUAAAGAUAAAGUCUAUGAGACAAAAAUAUUGUACAAAGAAAAUUAUAAAGUUUCUAUAAUUAUGAGAUUUUUAUUGCAUCAAAACAUUACUUCUAAUAUGUUCCUCGUUGAUACUCUCUUAAAUAUUGAACAUUCAUUAAAGCCGUAAAGAUUGAUACAUAUUAUGUUAUUUUCUUUAUGAAAGGAAGUAGUUGUUCUCAUAAGUUGAGGUAUAAGGGAUACCUAGAACUAAUAUGUAAGUUUUUAUCAUAAGACAUGUACACUAGAUUGACUUGCAUGAGAAUUCCAUAAAAAAAAGAUCACCAAUGUCUAUGGAAAAGCUCAUGUGACUGUUAUGUAAAUGAUCUUUAUACUUGAGAUUACUAAGUAAUCUUAUAUAGAGAAUGUUAUGUUUUGAUUUUAUUACUUUUUAUCUUAAUUAAGAUAACGAAGGGCAAACAUUGAGUAUAAUAUGAACUAUAUAAAGGUAUUUGAGUGAUCAAGAGAGCAUGAUCAUCACCUUAGAUGAAUUAUGAAAAAUGUUCUAUCUAUUCUCAAAUAGUAGUGACUGAGAAAUCCUUGGUCAAGAUGGAAUGAAAUUUUUAAAAGAGUUUUAAAUCUUAUUCAAAUGAUCAAUAACUAUUAUAUAAAGAAUAAACAUUAUUUAACAUGGUUGAUAUACUCUAUGUUUUUAUGUUAAAUUGAAACAAUAUUGAUAAAAGAAUAUUAAUUACACUGAGAAAUCGAUCACUGAAAGGCUAAGUCAAACCACUUAUGACUUUUCUAAUAUUUUAGGGAUCAUGACACGUUACUAGACGAUACACAUGAUCUUCAAAUAUAAAUUAAUCAAUUAUUGAAUUUGUAAUAAAUUAAAAUUAUUUAUUUAUUUAAUUAUAAUUGUGGCACCCGACAUCGUGGCGGCCCAUAAAAUAAUCCUUGAAUUAUGGAAAAAAGAACAUAUUUCUGGCAUCUUGUUCUUUUAGGAAAAAUAGUGUUGUUUAAGGAGUCGCCACCUAGUAUUAUGGUCACUAGGAACCCUAACUAGUCAACAGAGAUUUUAUGGUACGGGACUGGUUACGUAAAAGGAAUGAUAUUAUCACCCUUUAAACAUUCUGCCUGAGGCAAACUGCAUUGCUGAUUUUUUCUUAAAUUGCUAAACAUUUAUUCGCUUAUGCUAUGAUGAUUUGUUUAUAAUAUUCCUGACUCUGACGCUAGUGAAUAUUCGAUCUUUAAAUAAUUCCAACUCUGGCGUUGGUAAAAAUUCCACCAUGAAUAAUUCCAAUUCUGGUGUUGAUAAAAAAAAAAUUUCACCAUGAAUAAUUCCAACUCUGACAUUGGUAAAAAUUCCACCACAAAUAAUUCCAACUCUAGCAUUGGUACAAAUUCAUGGCUAUGAAAAAAUCAAUAUAUUUUCUUUUUUAUUCAUGACCCCGAUAUCAUUGAAUAAGUUGAUAAAAAUACAUAUAUUUUUUAAGAUAUGCAAAAAAUUUUAUUUCAAAACUUUCUACUUUUUUUUUGUUUUUUAUAUUUUUUUUAGUUUUGGGCUAAUAUUUUUUUUUUUGAGCUGGUCAUAUGGGCUGGGCCACCGGCACGCGUGGUUCAAACCACGCGUGCAAUGCGAAGGCUUACCUGGCGAUUCGAAGGCGCAGGCGACAGCAACAGAUCGAGCACUCCCGGAGAAUUCUAUCUUCCUCCUCCUCUCAGUCCCUUCCCCUCUGUUCGUGUGUUUCUGUUUGUUGGGUUUUUUUUUCUUACCGUCUGCUCUCCUCUGCUUUCCUCUUCUGUUCGUGUUCUCUGCCUUCUCACCGCUGCGUUCACUGUUCUCCCUUCUUCUCAGUUCUUGAGGUGAGCUAACUAAGAAAGUAAUGCAUAUGCCAUCUUUACUGAGUUUUUUUACUGACUUCGGGUUCUUCUUUUUCUGCAGGGACGAAGACAGUAACAAGGCUGAUUCUUCUCUGUGUUGCCCCUCCCUUUUCUCCUUCUCUCUGUGAAUUUGUGCUUUGGAUUUAUGCUCUGCUUUUCUCUCUCUUCUUUUCUCUGAUUUUGUUCUCUGGUUUUUCGUCUGGGUUUAGCUAGAGUUUUUCCUCGGUUUCUCGUCCAAAAUCCCACUGUUUUCCCUCCUUUCAGCCCCCGGUUUUUCUUCCUUUUUCCCCUCCCGCGCUCUCUCGUCUCUCUGGCUUUAUAACCAGAGAAUACCAACCAUUUGAAACGGCUUCAAAGCCAUUACUGCUAGAAACGGCUCCUGAGGAUGAAGGCGAUGAACAGCUUCUAAAAACGGUGUCGUUUGUGUGAUGGGAAUGGCCAUUUUCAAUCUGGUCACUGAAGUUCUAAACGCGUGCAAUCAAGCCCCUGUGUAAAUUGUAAUUGGACCCCUUUAUUUCUGCGCUUUUUACAAGCUAAUCCUUGGAUUUUAAUUUUUCAAUCUUGACCCCAAACUUUAAUAUUUCUACAAUUAAGUCCCUGAAUAAGUUAAUUCCAAGCUUAAUUAAGUCUAAAACUUGUCAAUUCUUCAAUUAAACCCUAGAUUGGAAUAAUUAUAUUAAUUCCAAGCUUAAUUAAGUCUCAAAACUUUAUCAAUUUUCCAAUUAAACCCUUGAUUAGAUUAAUUAAAUUAAUUCCAAGUUCAAUUAAGUCUUAAAACUUAUCAAUUCUCCAAUUAAACCCUUAAUUGGAUUAAUUGAAUUAAUUCCAAGCUCAAUUAAGUCUUAAAACUUAUCAAUUCUCCAAUUAAACCCUUAAUUGGAUUAAUUAUAUUAAUUUCAAAGUUUAAUUAAACCCCAAAAACUUCCAAUCAUGUUGCCCUUAAUCCAAAUUUUAAUUCAUUCUUUAUUUAUUUCAUUUUACUUGUUUUUCAUCAUUAUUAUCAUUUUUUAUCCUUUUCAGUAAAUAAAAUAAUAAUAACAAUUGUAAAUACACCGCAUUACUAAAUGUUGCCACGUUAGCUUUAAAAUUGGAGAAGUUUUUAAAAUUUUGAGUAGUACUUUAAGAUCAUUGGAAAAUGGCUAUAAAAUACAGUGCCAGAAUAACAAUAGCAAACUCAUUUCCUUUUCAUUUUUAACCUCCAUCUCUACCAUUUUCCCCAUUUUACCCAAGAUCAUUGGUGAGAUGGCCCGCGGAGCCAACGCCCCAUCUGUCCCUCCAGUGUGGGAAAGACAUGUCCUUAAUGCAACUGAACCACCUCGAGUUACAUGCAGACACCGAGCGUACGAGGAGGUAGCUGGCUCCACGAGCUCAAUUCUUACCCAUGAUCAUCUGGUUCAUCGUUCAUUUUUCUUUAGCCCUUCAUAUAACGGCUCUUCGAAGAUUGGUCCCACCUCACCUCAGCCAUUGUUCUAGUUUCGAAAUAUUAACGGCAUGUCUUUGGAUAUGUCGGACCAUUGCCCUCCAACCAGAUCCUAAUGAAGAAAUGCGCAUAAUUUGCCUCGUCAACGCACGUGAAAAAUUCAACCCUCCAUUAUUACCAAGAGGUUACUAUGGUAAUGGUUUUGGUCUUCUAGCAGCAGUAGCCACUGCGGGGGAACUUUCGAGAAAGCCAAUUGGAUAUGCUUUGGAGCUGGUAAGGAAGGCUAAGGCGGACAUGACUGAGGAGUACUUGCGAUCCACAGCAUCGUUGAUGGUGAGCAAGGGAAGGCCUCUUUUUACUGUGCCAGGGACCUACAUAGUGUCGGACUUGAGACGUGCCGGACUUGAAAAGGUAGAUUUCGGAUGGGGAAAUGCUAUCUAUGGUGGGACUGCAAAAGCCAUCCCUGAACUUGCAAGCUUUUAUAUUCCGUUUACAAAUAAGAAAGGAGAAGAUGGGAUCGUUGUACCAUUUUGUUUGCCAUCUCCUGCUGUGGAAAGAUUUUACAAGGAGCUUGAAGGCAUGCUAAAGGGACAGCUAGUUAGCGGAGGAGCAAAUUCCAAGUUAAUCGUAUCUUCUUUAUAGGUUAAAUUGUUUACUCUUAUUUUCUAUGUACCACAUAUCAUUUAUGUAUGCUGCGUUUGAAUUUCAUUUUUUAAUAUUAGUACGACAUUUACCUUUUAUGUCCAUUCAGCAUGUGUUAUAUAUGAUUAUUAAUAAUAUGAGUGUUUGUUUUUGUAAUUCUUUUUAUGGCUGUUAUUUAAAAAAAAUAAUUUAAAUUGUAGUUGGAUAUCAAAUAAUCAAAGAGGAUAUUAAUUUUUUUUCAUACAUGACAUUAAACAUUUAAUAUAUAAGUAAGAUCAACUACUUGUAACAUAAAAACUUUUAUAAUUCUCUCAUCAAACUUAAAGUAGUUUGACAAGAAUGAUGAUUGUUGUUGAAACAUUAUUUUAUAGGUUUUACAAUCAUUUAUGGCAAAAAAAAAAAAAAACCAACGACACACAACAUCUAUAACUGAGGUUUUAAGAAGAGAAGAGGUCAAUGGAAGAAAUUGUGAACUAUUGAUAGAAUCAAGAAGACGAUAAGAAGCAGGUCAGGAAGAGUAGAGAGGAGAGGAGGGAUAUUUUGGUCAAGAGAUAAUUGAACGGUCUUCAAUGUUCCAUAAGUAAGUAUGAACCUAUAUUGUGGGACCAUAAUUAUUAUAUGGGUCUUACAUUCUUCAACCAACAUUUUAAAUGUUUUUCAGAGAAUCAUUAAUUGAGGAUGCGCCACAUCAUAUUUUCUACUACAAAAAUAAAUACAUUCAUAAACACACGGUUGACAAAUUUAUGCUUGAAGAAAAGGACUCCAUUUCAUAUUUAUAACCGAUGGACUUUUUCCUAAUUCUUACACAUGAUCAUCUGGCUCAUCCUUCGUUUUUCUUUAGCCCUUCAGAUAUAACUGCUCUUCGAAGAUUGGUCUCACCUCACCUCAGCCAUGUUCUAGUUUCGAAAUAUUAACGGCAUGUCUUUGGAUAUGUCGGACCAUUGCCUCCAACCAGAUCCUAAGAUAAUGAAGAAAGCUUCAUAAUUUGCCCUCGUCAACGCACGUGAAAAUUCAACCCUCCAUUAUUACCAAGAGGUUACUAUGUAAUGGUUUUUUCUUCUAGCAGCAGUAGCGACUGCAGGUGAACUUUUGAAUGACCAAAGGUCAUUUUGGAUCAUGUAAUCUACAGGAUCCACGGCUAUGUUAGGUCCUGCAGAGAGGCAUACCCAAGGUUAUGUUGGGUCCUCCAGUCUCUAUAACCUGAAGCUAGUUUAGGUUCUACCCGACUCCCCAGACUCAAAGCUAUUUUGGAUUCUAUACCCGGCCAAACCCUAUGCUAUUUUGAGUCUUGCCCCGAUCUAACCCAAGGCUAUUCUUGGUCCUGCAGAGGCUAGGAUCCAAGGAUAUUUAGGGUUUUGCCCGGCCGGAACCAAAACUAUUUUGAGUUUUGUCCAACUCGAAUCCAUAGUUAUUAAGGUCCUGAACCAGCCAGAACCCAAAUCUAUUUGGGUUCUGCAUAAUAUUGGACCCAACAUAGAUUUUAUAGUAUUAAUAAUAAGAGUAAACAGAUAAGGGAGGAAGAAAUUAUUAAGGGAGCAAGAAAUACUGAUGCAUAUCAAACACUACGAAGUCUAUCAAGCCAUCAUAAGAGUAGACAAAUAGCAAAAUUAUAAGCUAUUAUAUUGGUGAAACCUACCAUGAUUAUUUGUAUGUUCUGAUAUAUAUAUAUAUAUAUAUAUAUAUAUAUAUAUAUAUUUUAUAGUUGUUAUAGUUACUAUAAAAUUACUUUCAAAAUUUUAUUAGAAAAAUGAUCUCAAAAUUUUAAUUUCAAAUCGUAAUCUUUCUUGUUAGUGCAAGUUGAGGAGGAAAAAGU